AUCUCAACCUCAAAAAUUCUGUGACUUCUCACUAGGACUACUUUGGCCAAAAUUUUGUUGAAUUGAAACACAGUGAUGCAUCAUCUCUAAUUUUACUUAGAGCGAUCAAUCCCAUCUUGACUCGCACUCAGACUUCACAAGUACUUGACUGUACCCAAAAAUCUUUCAUUAUUGAAUUAGAAAUUUAGAUAGUCUGGCAUUAAAGUACAGUGGGUUGCUUGUAAGUCACUGAGGCAUCCUCAAGUCAGAGGGACACUUAUACCCAUAUCCCAUCAGAGCAAUCCUUGACAGCAG
rnacentral:lncRNA from 1 species